rnacentral:rRNA from 1 species
AACGAACGCUGGCGGCGUGGCUAAGACAUGCAAGUCGAACGAACCAUUAAUUUAUUAAUGGUUAGUGGCGAAAGGGUUAGUAAUGGAUAGGUAACGUACCCUAUGCUUCGGGAUAGCGUCAGAAAACUUCGGUUUUCAUCCGAAAGGGGCGGUAAUACCGGAUAAUAGCAUUUGUCGACGGACAAAUGUUCAAAGAUUUAUCGGCACGGGAGCGGCCUAUCUCCUAUCAGCUUGUUGGUGAGGUAACGGCUCACCAAGGCAACGACGGGUAGCGGGACUGAGAGGUUGGCCCGCCACAUCGGGACUGAGACACUGCCCGGACCUCCACGGAGGGCUGCAGUAACGAAUAUUGUGCAAUGGGCGAAAGCCUGACACAGCGACGCCGCGUGUAGGAGGAAGUCCUUCGGGAUGUAAACUACUGUCAGGGGUAAGAAAGUGCGCUUCGGUGCAUUGAUCUAACCCAGAGGAAGUCACGGCUAACUUCGUGCCAGCAGCCGCGGUAAGACGAAGGUGGCAAGCGUUGUUCGGUAUCACUGGGCUUAAAGGGUGUGUAGGCGGAAAGGUAAGCGUCCUGUGAAAGCCCCCGGCUUAACCGGGGAAUCGCUCGAUGUACUGCCUUUCUUGAGGCAAGUAGGGGUGCACGGAACUCUUGGUGGAGCGGUGGAAUGCGUAGAUAUCAAGAGGAACGCCUGUGGUGAAAACGGUGCACUGGGCUUGACCUGACGCUGAGACACGAAAGCGUGGGGAGCGAACGGGAUUAGAUACCCCGGUAGUCCACGCCGUAAACAAUGUCUACUAGGUUGUGGAGGUUCUGACACCUGCACGGCCGGAGCAAAAGUGUUAAGUAGACCGCCUGGGGAGUACGGCCGCAAGGCUA